rnacentral:rRNA from 1 species
UACGUAGGUGGCAAGCGUUGUCCGGAAUUAUUGGGCGUAAAGCGCGCGCAGGCGGUUCUUUAGGUCUGAUGUGAAAGCCCACGGCUCAACCGUGGAGGGUCAUUGGAAACUGGGGAACUUGAGUACAGAAGAGGAAAGCGGAAUUCCACGUGUAGCGGUGAAAUGCGUAGAGAUGUGGAGGAACACCAGUGGCGAAGGCGGCUUUCUGGUCUGUAACUGACGCUGAGGCGCGAAAGCGUGGGGAGCAAACAGG